GCACUGCUGAGGAGUUCCAUAAUAAAACGAAACGACCGUUCAGUAC
rfam:Schistosoma rodhaini strain Burundi genome assembly, scaffold: SROB_scaffold0000833